UGGGGAAUAUUGCACAAUGGAGGAAACUCUGAUGCAGCGACGCCGCGUGAAUGAUGAAGGCCUUCGGGUUGUAAAGUUCUGUCCUUGGGGAAGAUAAUGACGGUACCCAAGGAGGAAGCCCCGGCUAACUACGUGCCAGCAGCCGCGGUAAUACGUAGGGGGCGAGCGUUGUCCGGAAUUAUUGGGCGUAAAGGGUUCGCAGGCGGUCUGAUAAGUCAGAUGUGAAAGGCGUAGGCUCAACCUACGUAAGCAUUUGAAACUGUCAGACUUGAGUUAAGGAGAGGAAAGUGGAAUUCCUAGUGUAGCGGUGAAAUGCGUAGAUAUUAGGAGGAAUACCAGUGGCGAAGGCGACUUUCUGGACUUAUACUGACGCUGAGGAACGAAAGCGUGGGGAGCAAACAGG
rnacentral:rRNA from 1 species